rnacentral:rRNA from 1 species
UCGGAUCAGGAUUGCCCUAGUAACGGCGAGUGAAGCGGCAACAGCUCAAAUUUGAAAUCUGGCUCUUUCAGGGUCCGAGUUGUAAUUUGUAGAGGGUGCUUUGGCGUUGACUGUGGUCUAAGUUCCUUGGAACAGGACGUCGCAGAGGGUGAGAAUCCCGUAUGUGGCCGCCAGUCUUCGCCGUGUAAAGCCCCUUCGACGAGUCGAGUUGUUUGGGAAUGCAGCUCUAAAUGGGAGGUAAAUUUCUUCUAAAGCUAAAUAUUGGCCAGAGACCGAUAGCGCACAAGUAGAGUGAUCGAAAGAUGAAAAGCACUUUGGAAAGAGAGUCAAAAAGCACGUGAAAUUGUUGAAAGGGAAGCGCUUGCAGCCAGACUUGCCUGUAGUUGCUCAUCCGGGCUUUCGAGCCCGGUGCACUCUUCUACGGGCAGGCCAGCAUCAGUCCUGGCGGUUGGAUAAAUGUCUGCGCAA